CCUCCCCGGGGACUUUUUUUAAGCAGAUUUGGGGCUUUCUUUUGUGUAUUUUUCCCUCUAAAAUAAAAGAGUAAAUUGAUAGAAAUCGGGACUGGGGGGAGGAGGACGGGACACGGGGGCUGCUCCGGAGGUGACAGGGACGUGGAGAAACCGCCCCGGAGGUGACAGGGACACACAGGUGUUGAUAUGGAGGUGACAAGGACAGAGGGGUUUUGUUCGGGAGGUGACAAGGACACACGAGUGUUGCUCUGGGGGUGACUGGGACACAAGUGUUGAUAUGAAGGUGACAGGGACACACUGAUAAUGCUCUGGAGGUGACAAGGACACCAAGAUAUUGCUCUAGGGGUGACAAGGACACAGGAGGUGCUGUGGAGGUGACAAGGACACAGGUGUUGAUACAGAGGUGACAAGGACAGAGGGGUCUGGCUCUGGAGGUGACAGGGACACAGGUGUUUAUAUGGAGGUGACAGGGACACACAGGCUUUGUUCGGGAGGUGACAAGGACACGGGUGUCGAUACACAGGUGACAAUGACAGAAGGGUCUGGCUCUGGGGGUGACUGGGACACAAGUGUUGAUAUGAAGGUGACAAGGACACAGGAGAUGCUCUGGAGGUGACAAGGACACAGGUGUUGAUACAGAGGUGACAAGGACAGAAGGGUCUGGCUCUGGAGGUGUUGGGGACACAGGUGAUGCUGUGGAGGUGACAAGGACACCAAGAUAUUGCUCUAGGGGUGACAAGGACACAGGUGGUGAUGUGGAGGUAUUGGGGACACAGGAGGUGCUGUGGAGGUGACAGGGACACCAAGAUAUUGCUCUGGGGGUGACAGGGACAGAGGGAUCUGGCUCUGGAGGCGUUGGGGACACAGGAGGUGCUCUGGGGGUGACAAGGACACAGGAGGUGCUGUGGAGGUGACAGGGACACACAGAUGUUGCUCUGGAGGUGACAAGGACACACUGAUAUUGCUCUGGAGGUGACAAGGACACACAGAUGUUGCUCUGGAGGUGACAAGGACACAGGUGUUGAUACAGAGGUGACAAGGACAGAGGGAUCUGGCUCUGGAGGUGUUGGGGACACAGGUGUUGCUGUGGAGGUGACAAGGACACCAAGAUAUUGCUCUAGGGGUGACAAGGACACAGGAGGUGCUGUGGAGGUGACAGGGACACCCUGAUAUUGCUCUGGAGGUGACAAGGACACAGGUGGUGCUGUGGAGGUGACAGGGACACCCUGAUAUUGCUCUGGAGGUGACAAGGACACAGGUGGUGCUGUGGAGGUGACAGGGACACCCUGAUAUUGCUCUGGAGGUGACAAGGACACAGGUGGUGAUGUGGAGGUAUUGGGGACACAGGUGGUGCUGUGGAGGUGACAGGGACACCCUGAUAUUGCUCUGGAGGUGACAGGGACACAGGUG